GAUCUCUUGAAAUUAUUCCUUCUAAUUGAAAUUUUAUGUUUAUUUGGCUAAGAUCACAUGUAGUGCCAUUUGGAUAAUGCAAGUAAUCACACCAUUGAAGCCCCAUUUCCUACUGUGUAGCAACCUUUUAAUAUAUUCCAUACUUUUCAAUUACUAUAACAGACUCAUUCUUCCAGUUCUAUUUAUUUUUAAGCUUGUUUGUCAUAUAUUUCAAAGCUUUUACCCUUUUACACAUGCAUGGUAGAACUGUACGGAGAUAAUGACAAAAAUGUUGGUGUGGUAUCCAUGUGGCUGUCUAUCAUUAUCACUUCCUCUUCAGGAACUGGAAAUAUGUGGAGGAGUGUAGCAAAUCUAGAUGCUAACUUCUCUAAGUUUGUAGUUCACUUUCAGUGUGGUUCAAAUUGCUUUGCUUUCUGUACAAUCCAAGUUCAUUUAUAUUUGCUUGCAAUGUGAAUAGGUGACAUUUCCAAACAUGCUACAAAAGAGUCAGUCCUAGUUACAUAUAUGUUGAACUUUGUCACAUUUUCUAGCAGACUGUAUUAGUCAGGGUUGUCUAGGGAAACACAGGACAUGUGUGUGUGUGUGUGUGUGUGUGUGUGUGUGUGUGUGAGAUAUGUGACUAUAGAGGCUGAGAAGUCCCAUGACCUACCAUUUACAGACCAAUGCCCCAAGAAAAUUGGAGGUGGUAUUCAGUCCAUGUUUGGAGGACUGAAAGCCAAGGGCAGAAAAUGGUAUAAAACCAGUACAAGGUCAGGAAAAAAAGGAAAUGAGGUAUUUCAGCUAAAAAUAGAUAAACAAAAGGAAAAUCUCUUCUUCCCUGUCUUCUGUUUUAUUCUAGCUCCUCAAAUGUUUGGAUGAUACCCACUGGCAGCAUGGAGGGCAAAUUAUUACUUUACUUAGUUCACUUAUUCAGAUGCUAAUCUUGCUUAAAAACAUCCUCUCAGAC
rnacentral:lncRNA from 1 species